CGUGAUCUAUCUCAAAUGAGAGUCUUUUCUCGUCGCGCAUUUCAUCAAGAUCCGUCAGAAUCUGACGGACACGACGUGACACAUCCUCGGCACAAUGAAAUCGUCAAAUUAAAAUAGGCACCUCAUGUACGGUUGCCAAAAAUUACCAACGCCCACAUUUAACAUAUUUUAUUUGUGUUAUAUACAUCUAUAUGUGUAUAGAGCAUCUUGGCUGGAUAAAACCAGCUGAAAAAACACAAAAUCUAGUCUACAUAAUGUUUAAAUUGUCAUUUUGAUUUUUGAAUUUUAUUUUUAAUUAUUCUAAAAGAAAUAUCUAGUUCACUCUUAUUAUUAUUAUCUUGUUAUUCCUCAUUAUUUCUGGUGUGAAUAAAUACUAACCUCAUCUAUCAAAUUUUGAGAUGUUAAAAAAUUGCUUUUCAAAUUUGUUGAUUUUUGAAUUUUUAAAUAUUGAAAAUAAAUUUCGGUAAAAAUUUGAGGUUAAAAAGUGAGUUGAGUUAUUUUAGAAAAAUAAAUCCCGAGUUUUUUUGAAUGAGAAAGUAUAAAAAGUAUGGGUAUGGAAAUUUAUUUUCGAAUGUCAUUCCUCAUUCUGAGGAAGUUAAAUGUGUAUUUGCGAUAUCCUUAUUUCUGGGGAUUGUGGAGAUUUAUCUUGAACAAGCAAUAAUCCGUCAAGUACAAUCGAUUUAGGAGGUCUAAAAUACGAAGAUGAAGUGGAGAAAAAGAAGGAGACCAACAGGACAGGAAAAAUCCUUGUACCUAAGACCUUUCUGAGCAUCUGCCGACCAUAUGAUCGGAUGUCUCUUUUUUCCUUCCAUCUCACUUGUGGUCUUUAAAAUCACGCUUAAGAGGAAAUAACCUUGACCUUGAAGUAACAUGGCGAGGCAAAGGGUGCCACGAGACGCGUGCCUUGGAAUCUUCUUCUUCUUCUUCUGCCAUGCGGUCGCGUGUUUGCCCUUGAGACCAAACUCAUACGUUUAUUCGUACACUCUUUACUCUACUUAACUUGACUUUAUUUUCAUUUUUUACGCAUAUGUGUGAAUAUGAAUUAAAAUUAAUGUAUAUUAUUUAUAACAAUUUUUUAUCAAUAAAAAAAUUCCACCCAUUCAACA